AAUAUGCCGAGUGAUAGGUGGUGAAGUAGUCUUAGUCUGUUAUGCACUGGGCAUCGAGGAUAUUGACGGUAUCCUCGCGUCACACAAUCGGCACGUUGUUAUUUGUAGGUGUCAGUCUUAAGUUUUGUGAUGCAUACCACGAUUUCACACGAACUACCUGAGAGAUUCGACUCUGAAAAAAGAGUGUUUUUGCGACAUCUACACAGCAGACCAGGCAUAGGGCCAGGAAUUUUGUUUCUAUUGUGCUGGGCCAAGGUUGCAGAAUCUAUAUGGGGCAAUGCGUGUCGCGUAAGGCGGGCGCCGUCAUCACAACCGGACAUUGCGAAUCGCUCACGUACC